UCAUGGCUCAGAGUGAACGCUGGCGGCAGGCCUAAUACAUGCAAGUCGAACGGCAGCACAGCAGAGCUUGCUCUGUGGGUGGCGAGUGGCGGACGGGUGAGGAAUACAUGGGAAUCUGCCCAGUCGUGGGGGAUAACGUAGGGAAACUUACGCUAAUACCGCAUGCGCCCUUCGGGGGAAAGCCGGGGACCGUAAGGCCUGGCGCGAUUGGAUGAGCCCAUGUCGGAUUAGCUAGUUGGCGGGGUAAAGGCCCACCAAGGCGACGAUCCGUAGCUGGUCUGAGAGGAUGAUCAGCCACACUGGAACUGAGACACGGUCCAGACUCCUACGGGAGGCAGCAGUAGGGAAUAUUGGACAAUGGGCGCAAGCCUGAUCCAGCCAUGCCGCGUGAGUGAAGAAGGCCCUCGGGUUGUAAAGCUCUUUUGUCCGGAAAGAAAAGCGCCGGGUUAAUACCCUGGUGUCCUGACGGUACCGGAAGAAUAAGCACCGGCUAACUUCGUG
rnacentral:rRNA from 1 species